rnacentral:tRNA from 1 species
GUGGCCGAGUGUCAAGGCAAUAGAUUUUUAAUCUUAGUACGGGAUUUUCCCCUUUUGCGUUGGUU